CAAUAGCGUAUAUUAAAGUUGUUGCGGUAAAAAAGCUCGUAGUUGGAUUUCUACCGAAGAUAGCCGGUCGGGUCUUCGACCUUGUAUCUGGUUUUGUCUUUGGUAUCCUCAUAGGGAACGUUUCUGCGCUUUAUUGCGUGGUGCGGUAUCUAUGACUUUUACUUUGAGGAAAUUAGAGUGUUCACGGCAGGCAAACGCCUUGAAUGUAUUAGCAUGGAAUAAUAACAUAGGAUCUUCGUCCUAUUUUGUUGGUUUCUAGGGCUAAGAUAAUGAUUAAUAGGGAUAAUUGGGGGCAUCUGUAUCAACGCGUCAGAGGUGGAAUUCUUGGAUUGCGUUGCGACAAACUACUGCGAAAGCAUUUGCCAAGGAUGUUUUCAUUGA
rnacentral:rRNA from 1 species